UGGAUACACUGCAGAUACACUGAGAAAUGAGUAAGUCAAGAUAAUUGACAGAUUAUCUUCAUGGGCUGAGAACAUUUUAGAUCUUGGCAGCCCCUGUGAUUUCAAGGAGAAGCAGAAGAAGAGGAAGAAGAGGGAGAGAAGGGAAAGGAGGAACUUCAACUGAAGUGAGUCAAGUAGGAGAAGGAAGAGGAGGAAGAGAAAGAAGAAUAGAAAGGACUGAUUAUGAAACAACACAAAUCCUAGUGUGUGUGUGUAUUUCUUUAAAGUUUAUAAGGUGUAUCUUCCUGUCAUUGAAUCUAAUGUCUUGUCAUCGACUGAAGCCAUAAGGGGAGAGCCAGGAUGCUAGAGCUUCCAUUGCAGGGAAGGUGGUUUUCGUCUCCUAGCUGUGGAAUGAGCAGUAACACAAGAUCAGUUCGACCUCAGAGCAGCCGAGGAAAGAAGAAUCCAUCCAGGUCCUACACGCUGCUGUUGCUGAAACUCGAAGACACCCAAGCCCACAUUUCGGCAUAUGCUCUCCCUUCCCUGAGAGCCAGUCUCCGUUUCUCUCUCCCAGCCCUUGAUAUUGCUAAUUACAUCCCUUCUAAUAAACUCUGAUGCUGCUUCA